rnacentral:rRNA from 1 species
UACGUAGGGUGCAAGCGUUAAUCGGAAUUACUGGGCGUAAAGCGUGCGCAGGCGGUUGUGUAAGACAGAUGUGAAAUCCCCGGGCUUAACCUGGGAACUGCAUUGGUGACUGCAUUGCUGGAGUAUGGCAGAGGGGGGUGGAAUUCCACGUGUAGCAGUGAAAUGCGUAGAGAUGUGGAGGAACACCGAUGGCGAAGGCAGCCCCCUGGGCCAAUACUGACGCUCAUGCACGAAAGCGUGGGGAGCAAACAGG